UACGUAGGGGGCAAGCGUUGUCCGGAAUCAUUGGGCGUAAAGCGCGUGUAGGCGGCCCGAUAAGUCCGCUGUGAAAGUCCAGGGCUCAACCCUGGGAUGCCGGUGGAUACUGUCGGGCUCGAGUCCGGAAGAGGCGAGUGGAAUUCCUGGUGUAGCGGUGAAAUGCGCAGAUAUCAGGAGGAACACCAAUGGCGAAGGCAGCUCGCUGGGACGAGACUGACGCUGAGACGCGAAAGCGUGGGGAGCAAACAGG
rnacentral:rRNA from 1 species